CAAAUUACUUAAAGAUUCUAACUUGUUGGAUCUGAGAAGGGUCUCUCCGUUAUACUGUUUAACUAUUGAACAGCUGUUCUCUCGCCUGUGGCCUUGGUGCUUGUAUACUGACGCGAUUACACCCAGGGCCAGUCUUCGGAUCUGCAACUCUCGGUUGAGCUCAGUACCUAGCCCUAGUUACACGGCACGGACACUGCGGUAGUUCAACGGCUCUGAGAGUCUCUCUAGUCCUUAAGUUGAUCUCCUGUCAAUACCUACGGUUAUCUGAAUUGACCCUGUCGCCCGCGGCCUUGGUGCUUGUAUACUGACGCGAUUACACCCAGGGCCAGUCUUCGGAUCUGCAACUCUCGGUUGAGCUCAGUACCUAGCCCUAGUCGUGUGACGCAGACUUUUCGAUAUUCCAGUGGGGCAGGGAAUCACCAGCGGGUUCUCUCAUUCAGUCCAAACUUGAAUCUCUCAAUUUAGCAAACCGCCGACUUCAAGUCAACCUUUCAGCCAGUAGAGGGAAGUCGCUACUAACUAAAUUCUAAAAGAACUCUGACCGAUUGAAACUCUGCUCCUGAUCUUGUGGGUCUCCUCGUCAUCUCUCAAAGGUGUGGCUCACGCAUAUUUAAUGACGUUUUGGCGGGAAAGCAGCACAUGUUCAGUGAUGCCCCUCCCCCUUUCCACACUCCAGGCAGACUUUCCUUGGCUGCCACCCUCAUCACCUACUGAUGGAGCUGUGAAGCUGAACCAGUAAAGGGUUAAAAGAGGGCGGGAUGGAGGGAGGGGACAGAGAGAGAGGAAGUACGAGGGGGUUGGUGGAAAAGACUGGUGACUCUCCUGCUUCUCUGACUUGGAGUGAGCUCACCCACUUCACAUAAAGGCACACACACACACACAACCUUUCCUCUAUCUUUAUUGGCUCUACACUGGAGGCAACACACUGCUAUUUUAACAACCGGCUUCCUAAAACACACCACAUAAAUAAAUUAUAAUUGAAAUCAUGACACCCCGGUGCACAUCUAUUCUAGGAAACCCCAGAUAAGGUACGCCUCAAAGGGUACCCUAUUCCCUACAAAGUGCACUAACUUUGACCAGAGCCCUAUGGGGUAGUGCACUAACUUUGACCAGAGCCCUAUGGGGUAGUGCACUAACUUUGACCAGAGCCCUAUGGGGUAGU